rnacentral:rRNA from 1 species
UUAAUAGCCGCGGUAUUUUAACUGUGCAAAGGUAGCAUAAUAAUUAGUCUUUUAAUUGAGGUCUGGUAUGAAUGGUUAGACGAGAAAUAUACUUUAUUUGAAUAAUUUUUUUGAAUUUUAAAUUUAAGUUAAAAUUCUUAAAUUUUUGAGUGGGACGAUAAGACCCUAUAGAUCUUAAUAAUGAUUUUUUUUUUUUUUUUUUGUUGUUUUUUAUUAGAAUUUAAAAUCUUUUUUUUGGGGGGGGGAUAACCAAAAAUUAAAACUUGGGUUUAUUUUAACAAAAAAUUUAGGGUUUUUUUAACCCUUUUUUUUGAUAAAAAAAAAAAAAACCCUUAGGGAAAACACCGAAUUUUGAUGGGAAAGUUCUUAUCAAAAAUAAAUUUGGCAAC